rnacentral:rRNA from 1 species
AGUGAACGCUGGCGGUAGGCCUAACACAUGCAAGUGGACCGCAGCACCGUAAGAGCUUUCCCCUACGGGUGGCCAGUUGCCGGCUGGUUAAGGAUACCUCGGAAUCCACUUUUUCGUGGGGGACAACGUAGGGAAACCUACGCUUAUACCCCAAAAGACCUACCGGUGAAAUCAGGGGAUUUUCGGACCUUUUGCGAAUGAAUGAGCCGAUGUCGGAUUAGCUAGUUGGCGGGGUAAAGGCCCACCAAGGCGACGAUCCGUAGCUGGUCUGAGAGGAUGAUCAGACACACUGGAACUGAGACACGGUCCAGACUCCUACGGGAGGCAGCAGUGGGGAAUAUUGGACAAUGGGCGCAAGCCUGAUCCAGCCAUACCGCGUGGGUGAAGAAGGCCUUCGGGUUGUAAAGCCCUUUUGUUGGGAAAGAAAAGCAGCAGGUUAAUACCCCGCUGUUCUGACGGUACCCAAAGAAUAAGCACCGGCUAACUUCGUG